rnacentral:rRNA from 1 species
GCGCAGCAGUCGCGAAUCUUCCACAAUGGACGAAAGUCUGAUGGAGCGACGCCGCGUGCGGGAUGAAGGCCUUAUGGGUUGUAAACCGCUGUCAGGGGGAAGAACAUCGGAAUGAACAAUACUCAUUCCGACUGACGUUACCCCCAGAGGAAGCUCCGGCCAACUCCGUGCCAGCAGCCGCGGUAAUACGGGGGGAGCAAGCGUUGUCCGGAAUUAUUGGGCGUAAAGGGCGUGUAGGCGGCGAGGUAAGUCGAAUGUGAAAUCUCACGGCUCAACCGUGAAACUGCGUUCGAAAACUACCCUGCUUGAGUACGGGAGAGGUGUACGG